CCUACGGGGGGCAGCAGUGGGGAAUAUUGGACAAUGGGGGGAACCCUGAUCCAGCCAUGCCGCGUGUGUGAAGAAGGUCCUCGGGUUGUAAAGCACUUUCAGUGAGGAAGAACGCCUGGUGGUUAAUACCCAUCAGGAAAGACAUCACUCACAGAAGAAGCACCGGCUAACUCCGUGCCAGCAGCCGCGGUAAUACGGAGGGUGCGAGCGUUAAUCGGAAUUACUGGGCGUAAAGCGCGCGUAGGUGGCUUGAUAAGCCGGUUGUGAAAGCCCCGGGCUCAACCUGGGAACGGCAUCCGGAACUGUCAAGCUAGAGUGCAGGAGAGGAAGGUAGAAUUCCCGGUGUAGCGGUGAAAUGCGUAGAGAUCGGGAGGAAUACCAGUGGCGAAGGCGGCCUUCUGGACUGACACUGACACUGAGGUGCGAAAGCGUGGGUAGCAAACAGGAUUAGAUACCCCUGUAGUC
rnacentral:rRNA from 1 species